rnacentral:rRNA from 1 species
CAGUCGCCACGGUAAUACGUAGGGUGCAAGCGUUAAUCGGAAUUACUGGGCGUAAAGCGUGCGCAGGCGGUUCGCUAAGACAGAUGUGAAAUCCCCGGGCUUAACCUGGGAACUGCAUUUGUGACUGGCAAGCUAGAGUGUGGCAGAGGGGGGUGGAAUUCCGCGUGUAGCAGUGAAAUGCGUAGAUAUGCGGAGGAACACCGAUGGCGAAGGCAGCCCCCUGGGCCAACACUGACGCUCAUGCACGAAAGCGUGGGGAGCAAACAGGACUAGAUACCCGUGUAGUCCCUGUCUCUUAUAA